rnacentral:lncRNA from 1 species
UCCCACAUUAUUGGUUAAUCGAGAAUCAAAGUGCAUUUACCAAUGAAUCACAAAAUAUUAUGGUUCUUAAAUAUUAUUUAUUAAUUUAUUCACUUAAUUUAUUCAGAAGUAAUUCGCGGGAUCAUGCAUCUUUUAAUUUUUACUAGUUAUAAUGAAAAAAAGUGCAGCUGGUUUAGUCCAGCCAAUUCUUGAAAUAAACAACUCGCACACACUCCCUUUCCA